rnacentral:rRNA from 1 species
AUGGAAUCUGAAAUUGUGUCCGUGGACUUUGACCUCAAUGCGGUGGGUGGUUACGAAAGAUUUAUCGACAUGUUCCGUGACAAGCUCGCCCGCCACCGACAACGAGACGAGUACAUCGCUAUGCACGGUCCUUGGCUCGUGGAUCAUCCUUUACUCCCCGAGCAACGAACGCCUAAGCCGGCGAGGUGGAUGCACAUUAAUCUGACAGAGAAGGAUGCAAACACAGGUGAUGUAAGAAGGACAACUGUGAUUGUCCGGGACGACAAUGUGUUUGUCGUGGGCUUCCAGAACCGCAACAGAGACUACUUCGAGUUUGGCAUCGACAAUAGGAGCACGCACAUUAUUCCGGAACCCGAUCAUCUAAACAAUGAUCAGGAACCGGCCAAGUUGUUUUUCCUAGGGUGCGAUGCAGAUUACCCAGAUCUGGUUGGAUGCAAGGGAAAUUUGGCGGACUUGGAUCUUGGAAAGGAAGCCAUGACACGCGCAGUGCGUACGCUCUGGGCAUAUACAAACAUAAAGGGGCCAGCUGAUACGGCCACAAGGAAGGAUUUGGCACGCGUGUGCGUCGUCAUCGCCGAGUCUGCACGGAUGGCUUCACACUUCGAUACGGUGAGAACUGGUUGGAACACCCAAGGCAGCAGAAUCAACCUGACACAGGUACGAUACGUAGACACAUGGAGCAAAAUGUCACGCGCGCUGAUCAAGUGUGCCAAGGAAAAUCUUGAAAAUCUGAGGACACAUCCCGCAUUCGAUGUACUUCACCUGCUGCUUAACUCACCUGGUGCUCAGCGUAAACAACGAAAACAGCAAGAUCGGCAAGAGCAGUCGCCGGUGACGCCUGAGGGUGGUGGCCCAAGUCAGGAGCAGCCGGGCAGUGGUCCCCGGCUGCAGCCACCUGCAUCCCGGGGCGGCGCCGGAACCCAGCAGCACGGGCGGAGGGCCGGCAAGUCGGUCAGCACUCGGCCCCUAGUGGAGGUGUACCGCGUGAAACCUGUUGGGGGUACUACCAUCAGCACCAUCGUCGUCUUCGACGGGAAACGCGGCCAGAUCAUCUACAAGCACGACGAACAUGACGAAUCACGGUCUCAGGGAACUUCAACUGCGGACCAUGCUAUUUAUAGGGACAGCUUGGUACUCACUGGACCAUACAGAGCCAUCUCGGCCGACGGGAGCUUCGUCGUUAAAGUGGACGGCAUCCUCGGAACGGACUCUUCAUCCAGCCAAUUCGUCAGUGCCGACAUGUUCUGGGAUGGCUACGCCGAAGACGUGGUGUACAACAGGGUCGUGACGACCUACCCCGCCAUCAGCACAAACCCCAGCCACCCCCUCGCAUCUGUGACCUACGCGGUGUGGAGCGACGCCGUGGAGGCCACCGUGGAGGUCAACCUGCUCCUCCAUCAUGCCGGCAUCACCCACGUCUACGGCGAGAUCACCUCGUUGUGCCAGACAACGGAAAGCAGGGUGCUGCUCUUCAUGCGUAAAGAGUACGAGAAAGUGGAGCUCGUCCCCUCGCCUGAUGGCUCCUCCAUGGUUCCACUUCAACUAGGGAGGUCCGUGGUCGCGGUGCCAAUGCAAUUGCAAACAGACAAGUCGCGCUUGCGGGUUUAUGUGCGGCUUCAUGCCAUGACUCCACCUCCACGUCCAAGCAAUGGUGAGGCCACUGUCGUCGAUCUUGCAGGCGAUAUCGACUUCUACUUUGACACACAUACGGGGGAGAUUCGUGUUAUGAUCUUUGAUGGCAUUUUCGUGCCUCUAGCUAGUUCCCACCCGCCUGUUGGUUCUACGAGCACCGAGCUAACCAGUGUGCCGCAAUGCAAGGUCCAAGUGAACAUCACCUCGCCGGGUUUCCAUGUUGCCCUUCCCAAGCCCGAGCCGAUGGUCCCGAUCGUGAGCAGUCAGGACGCAUGA